rnacentral:rRNA from 1 species
GUUCCGACCUGCACGAAUGGCGUAAUGAUGGCCAGGCUGUCUCCACCCGAGACUCAGUGAAAUUGAACUCGCUGUGAAGAUGCAGUGUACCCGCGGCAAGACGGAAAGACCCCGUGAACCUUUACUAUAGCUUGACACUGAACAUUGAGCCUUGAUGUGUAGGAUAGGUGGGAGGCUUUGAAGUGUGGACGCCAGUCUGCAUGGAGCCGACCUUGAAAUACCACCCUUUAAUGUUUGAUGUUCUAACGUGGACCCGUGAUCCGGGUUGCGGACAGUGUCUGGUGGGUAGUUUGACUGGGGCGGUCUCCUCCUAAAGAGUAACGGAGGAGCACGAAGGUUGGCUAAUCCUGGUCGGACAUCAGGAGGUUAGUGCAAUGGCAUAAGCCAGCUUGACUGCGAGCGUGACGGCGCGAGCAGGUGCGAAAGCAGGUCAUAGUGAUCCGGUGGUUCUGAAUGGAAGGGCCAUCGCUCAACGGAUAAAAGGUACUCCGGGGAUAACAGGCUGAUACCGCCCAAGAGUUCAUAUCGACGGCGGUGUUUGGCACCUCGAUGUCGGCUCAUCACAUCCUGGGGCUGAAGUAGGUCCCAAGGGUAUGGCUGUUCGCCAUUUAAAGUGGUACGCGAGCUGGGUUUAGAACGUCGUGAGACAGUUCGGUCCCUAUCUGCCGUGGGCGCUGGAGAACUGAGGGGGGCUGCUCCUAGUACGAGAGGACCGGAGUGGACGCAUCACUGGUGUUCGGGUUGUCAUGCCAAUGGCACUGCCCGGUAGCUAAAUGCGGAAGAGAUAAGUGCUGAAAGCAUCUAAGCACGAAACUUGCCCCGA